rnacentral:rRNA from 1 species
GACGAACGCUGGCGGCGUGCCUAAUACAUGCAAGUCGAACGCAGUGGGGACGGUUGAGUAAAACGUGGGUAACCUCCCAUCAGAGGGGGAUACACUUGGGAACAGGUGCUAAACCGAUACUGAUGGUAGGUCCCGCGUUGCAUUAGCUAGUUGGUGGGGGAACGGCUCACCCAGGCCACGAUGCAUAGCCGACCGGAGAGGGUGAGCGGCCACACUGGAACUGAGACACGGCCCAGACUCCUACGGGAGGCAGCAGUAGGGAAUCUUCGGCAAUGGACGAAAGUCUGACCGAGCAACGCCGCGUGAGGGAAGAAGGUUUUCGGAUCGUAAAACUCUGUUGUUAGAGAAGCGGUAUCUAACCAGAAAGCAACGGCUAACUACGUGCCAGCAGCCGCGGUAAUUC